rnacentral:rRNA from 1 species
AGCAGUAGCGCGGUAAUACAGAGGGUGCGAGCGUUAAUCGGAUUUACUGGGCGUAAAGCGUGCGUAGGCGGCUUUUUAAGUCGGAUGUGAAAUCCCUGAGCUUAACUUAGGAAUUGCAUUCGAUACUGGGAAGCUAGAGUAUGGGAGAGGAUGGUAGAAUUCCAGGUGUAGCGGUGAAAUGCGUAGAGAUCUGGAGGAAUACCGAUGGCGAAGGCAGCCAUCUGGCCUAAUACUGACGCUGAGGUACGAAAGCAUGGGGAGCAAACAGGAUUAGAUACCCGAGUAGUCCCUGUCUCUUAUACC